GGAGGAUCCGAGCGUUAUCCGGAUUUAUUGGGUUUAAAGGGAGCGUAGAUGGAUGUUUAAGUCAGUUGUGAAAGUUUGCGGCUCAACCGUAAAAUUGCAGUUGAUACUGGAUAUCUUGAGUGCAGUUGAGGCAGGCGGAAUUCGUGGUGUAGCGGUGAAAUGCUUAGAUAUCACGAAGAACUCCGAUUGCGAAGGCAGCCUGCUAAGCUGCAACUGACAUUGAGGCUCGAAAGUGUGGGUAUCAAACAGGAUUAGAUACCCUGGUAGUCCACACGGUAAACGAUGAAUACUCGCUGUUUGCGAUAUACUGCAAGCGGCCAAGCGAAAGCGUUAAGUAUUCCACCUGGGGAGUACGCCGGCAACGGUG
rnacentral:rRNA from 2 species